rnacentral:rRNA from 1 species
AUUGAACGCUGGCGGCAGGCCUAACACAUGCAAGUCGAACGAGUGGCGGACGGGUGAGUAAUGCCUGGGAAACUGCCUGAUGGAGGGGGAUAACUACUGGAAACGGUAGCUAAUAACGCCUACCCUCGGAUGUGCCCAGAUGGGAUUAGCUAGUAGGGGGGGUAAAGGAUCACCUAGGCGACGAUCCCUCGCUGGUCUGAGAGGAUGACCAGCCACACUGGAACUGAGACACGGUCCAGACUCCUCCGGUAGGCAGCAGUGGGGAAUAUUGCACAAUGGGCGCAAGCCUGAUGCAGCCAUGCCGCGUGUAUGAAGAAGGCCUUCGGGUUGUAAAGUACUUUCAGCGGGGAGGCGUUACCCGCAGAAUAAGCACCGGCUAACUCCGUGCCAGCAGCCGCGGUAAUUC